rnacentral:rRNA from 1 species
UACGUAGGGUGCAAGCGUUGUCCGGAAUUAUUGGGCGUAAAGAGCUCGUAGGCGGUUUGUUGCGUCGGCUGUGAAAUCCCGAGGCUCAACCUCGGGUCUGCAGUCGAUACGAGCAAACUAGAGUGUUGCAGGGGAGACUGGAAUUCCUGGUGUAGCGGUGAAAUGCGCAGAUAUCAGGAGGAACACCAAUGGCGAAGGCAGCUCGCUGGAACGGUACUGACGCUGGAGGCGACGAAAGCCGUGGGGAGCGAACAGG